rnacentral:rRNA from 1 species
UACGUAGGGGGCGAGCGUUGUCCGAAGUUACUGGGCGUAAAGCGCGCGUAGGCGGUCUUUUAAGUGGCCGGUGAAAUCCCCGGGCUCAACCCGGGGCAGUCUGGUCAUACUGGGAGACUGGAGUAUGGGAGAGGAGAGCGGAACUCCUGGUGUAGCGGUGAUAUGCGUAGAGAUCAGGAAGAACACCCGUGGCGAAGGCGGCUCUCUGGACCAUCACUGACGCUGAGGCGCGAAAGCCAGGGGAGCGAAC